GACGAACGCUGGCGGCGUGCUUAACACAUGCAAGUCGAACGGGUCUGCCCUGUUUUUUGCGGGGUGGGUCAGUGGCGAACGGGUGAGUAACACGUGAGUAACCUGCCCCUCACUUCUGGAUAACCGCUUGAAAGGGUGGCUAAUACGGGGUGUUCUGGCUGUGCCGCAUGGUGUGGCUGGGAAAGAUUCACUUUUGUGGUGUUUUGGUGGGGGAUGGGCUCGCGGCCUAUCAGCUUGUUGGUGGGGUGAUGGCCUGCCAAGGCUUUGACGGGUGGCCGGCCUGGGAGGGUGGGCGGUCACACUGGGACUGAGAUACGGCCCAGACUCCUGCGGGAGGCAGCAGUGGGGGGUAUUGCACAAUGGGCGGAAGCCUGAUGCAGCGACGUCGCGUGAGGGAUGGAGGCCUUCGGGUUGUGAACCUCUUUCGCCGGUGAAGAAGGUCCUGCUCUUUGUGGUGGGGUUGACGGUAGCCGGGUUAUGAAGCGCCGGCUAACUACGUG
rnacentral:rRNA from 1 species